UUUUUGUUUACAAUUCGGACGUAUCGUGAUCGCCAGUGAUUGAUUUGUUAUACAAUGGAUAUUAUCUGCAAAGGACACGAAAUACAAAGUGGAUGGCAGGAAAUUUAUACAGAUUUUGACAGCUGGAUAUGUAAAUAUAAUAAAUAUAAAUAUGGCAGAUCUUCAAAAUUCCAGAAACGGAAACACGACGAAGAUAUACCAAAAUCGUAUUACCAAAUCAACACUACGUCAGGCAAAAAAAAUAUAACCAUUGAAGAUUUAUUCGCUGAAGGAUUAAUAAUAAGUAAAUUUAAUUUAAUAAACACAAGCUCAAAUUGUUUAAGAAAAGAGCUGAGUAAUUUUUUAAACCUUACCAAAGACGGCGAUGGCUUUGUAAAUUACGAUUACGUUUUAUUAAAGUUAAUGAAUGGCGAACGAGAAUAUUUUUACCAAUAUAUGAAAUCA